UACGUAGGGGGCAAGCGUUGUCCGGAUUUAUUGGGCGUAAAGAGCGUGUCGGCGGCCUGACAGGUCUGCUGUGAAAACUCGAGGCUCAACCUCGAGAUGUCGGCGGAAACCGUCUGGCUAGAGUCCGGAAGAGGAGAGUGGAAUUCCUGGUGUAGCGGUGAAAUGCGCAGAUAUCAGGAAGAACACCUAUGGCGAAGGCAGCUCUCUGGGACGGUACUGACGCUGAGACGCGAAAGCGUGGGGAGCGAACAGG
rnacentral:rRNA from 1 species